rnacentral:rRNA from 1 species
UAGGGAAUAUUGGACAAUGGGGGCAACCCUGAUCCAGCCAUGCCGCGUGAGUGAAGAAGGCCCUCGGGUUGUAAAGCUCUUUUGUCCGGAAAGAAAAGCUUCGGGUUAAUACCCCGGGGUUCUGACGGUACCGGAAGAAUAAGCACCGGCUAACUUCGUGCCAGCAGCCGCGGUAAUACGAAGGGUGCAAGCGUUACUCGGAAUUACUGGGCGUAAAGCGUGCGUAGGUGGUUGUUUAAGUCUGAUGUGAAAGCCCUGGGCUCAACCUGGGAAUGGCGUUGGAAACUGGGCAGCUAGAGUGCGGUAGAGGGUAGUGGAAUUCCCGGUGUAGCAGUGAAAUGCGUAGAGAUCGGGAGGAACAUCUGUGGCGAAGGCGGCUGCCUGGACCAGCACUGACACUGAGGCACGAAAGCGUGGGGAGCAAACA